ACGCACGCUGGCGGCGUGCUUCACACCUGCCAGUCGAACGGAAAGGCCCCUUUGGGGGUACUCGAGUGGCGAACGGGUGAGUAACACGUGAGUAACCUGCCCUUGACUUCGGGAUAACUUCAGGAAACUGGGGCUAAUACCGGAUAGGAAUCCUUGCUGCAUGGUGGGGGUUGGAAAGCUUCGGCGGUUUUGGAUGGACUCGCGGCUUAUCAGCUUGUUGGUGGGGUAGUGGCUUACCAAGGCUUUGACGGGUAGCCGGCCUGAGAGGGCGACCGGCCACAUUGGGACUGAGAUACGGCCCAGACUCCUACGGGAGGCAGCAGUGGGGAAUAUUGCACAAUGGGCGGAAGCCUGAUGCAGCAACGCCGCGUGCGGGAUGACGGCCUUCGGGUUGUAAACCGCUUUCAGCAGGGGCGAAGCUUGUGGUGACGGUACCUGCAGAAGAAGCACCGGCUAACUACGUG
rnacentral:rRNA from 1 species